AGUGAACGCUGGCGGUAGGCCUAACACAUGCAAGUCGAACGGCAGCACAGUAAGAGCUUGCUCUUACGGGUGGCGAGUGGCGGACGGGUGAGGAAUACAUCGGAAUCUACUUUUUCGUGGGGGAUAACGUAGGGAAACUUACGCUAAUACCGCAUACGACCUACGGGUGAAAGCAGGGGAUCUUCGGACCUUGCGCGAUUGAAUGAGCCGAUGUCGGAUUAGCUAGCUGGCGGGGUAAAGGCCCACCAAGGCGACGAUCCGUAGCUGGUCUGAGAGGAUGACCACCCACACGGGAACUGGGACGCGGUCCGAGCCCUUACGGGAGGAAACGGUGGGGAAUUUUGACAAAUGGGCGAAAGCCUGAUCCGACCAACCGGGGGGGGUGAAGAAGCCCUUGGGGUUUAAAAGCCUUUUUUUUGGGAAAAAAAAGCAGCAGGUUAAUUCCCCGCUUUUUGGACGGACCCAAAAAAAAAAGCACGGGUAAACUCGGU
rnacentral:rRNA from 1 species